UACGUAGGGAGCAAGCGUUGUCCGGAAUCAUUGGGCGUAAAGCGCGCGUAGGCGGCCCCGUAAGUCCGCUGUGAAAGUCAAAGGCUCAACCUUUGAAAGCCGGUGGAUACUGUGGGGCUAGAGUCCGGAAGAGGCGAGUGGAAUUCCUGGUGUAGCGGUGGAAUGCGCAGAUAUCAGGAGGAACACCAAUAGCGAAGGCAGCUCGCUGGGGCGGUACUGACGCUAAGGCGCGAAAGCGUGGGGAGCGAACAGG
rnacentral:rRNA from 1 species